rnacentral:misc_RNA from 1 species
GAAGUUGUCUGUAAACCCCCUCAUUGACAGUACGGGAGCGGAUAACGACCCAAUGGCGGGGAUGGAGCUGGACCAGUUAACGGGCGAUUCUUUGGAACCUUGCCCCGCCCCCUGUACCCUUAACAGUCAAGAGAGUGAGUAUUACCAGGGAUGUAUAAACGUCCCUGGAAUGACAUUGAUAUCCAUCAGAAGAGUAAGUUGCUAGUAUGUAUACCAAUGCAAAGGGUUUUUUAUGUCGAUAUAAUUGUACGUACUAUAAAAUCUAAAAAAAAAAAAAAAAGUUAUUUAUAUUUUAGUAAUGUUUGGCUUUGAUCUGUGUAUGAAAUGUCUAAUCAUAGACGUGAACUACAAACUUGUAGGUAAGCGAUUUGAAGUCCUGGUUAAUUGCACGGAGGCGUCGGAUCAGUUGGGGUUGUCGGGAAGGCUUUACCUACACGUGACCGAGGAGUCCCUUGACGCUGAGCAGUGCGACACACUGGAAACACUCCACAGCUGGAAAUACGGACACAUCCAGCGGUUCGGCUACAACAAAUCCAGCAAUGACUUUCUAAUGGUCACGGGACGACGGAAGAAAUUCGGGCACGGGGUGUUCGAUUUCCACGUGUUGGGAGACCCUCGAAAGAUUAUAGAUUCUCUUCAAAACAAGCAAGGAUGUUCCCUAAAAUUAGCAGAUGGAGCCAAGCGAAUAAGCAACAUGAUUUAGUCCAAGAAGCAUGACCAGGCCCUAUCAUGGCGCGCCCAUUUUUGGUGCUCUUUUUGUGUUCGAAUUCAUUUAAUCAUUUUUUUGUAAUAUCUAAGGUUAUUUAAUCUAUGAAAAAAAUCCAUCAACUCUUAGUUUUGUAUAUAUAUUUAUAUUGCAAAAAGGUUAUCUUCACACAUUGUGAAUCAUCGAAAAAUGUUAUGAAAACAUUUCAUCUUUCAAAGUUUUGCUGAAUUCUUUAUUCCAAAAGGCAAACGUUUGAUUUGGAAUGAAAAAUAUUUCUCUAGACUUGGUAGGUAGACUAGGUAGGUGAUUUUCUGAUUUCUCCGUACUUUGUAUGGCGUACAAAAGUUAUUAUUUAUAAUUAUAGCUCAUAGAUUGGAUUGACUAAAUAUUACAUCCACUUUGAAAUUUUUCCUGUUCAUAAUGAUCGAGUACUUACACGUACAUUUGUACAUUAACGGGAAAAGUUUAAAAUACAGCAUUUUAGAAUUUCCUAAAUUCACAAUAUACUAGUAUAUAGGGGAAAAAAAUCUUGUUAAGGCCAAAUAUAGUCAACAAUUUUGUGAUGUAGAAGAGCUUCUGAUGGGUGAGCUGAGCGGUCUCAAGGUACUAUGUCCCUUCAAGGGAAGCAACUAUCUCCGAGAUAUAUGCGAAUACUAUUGUUAAUGAGAAAUGUUAGUCCAUGGUUUGGCAUUGCGUCCAGUUUUUUUUCAAAGCCGCUUGGUCCGAUUUUUUUUUAAAAAAAGCUUUUAAAGAUGCAUUACUAAACGUGGUAAGGGACUCGUGGCCAUGAUAAUGCAUAAUAUUAUUUCUACCACAAACAUACAAGAUUUGCUGAGUGAAAUCUAUCAGAGUGCCUGAAUUUUUUUCUGUGUUUGAAUGUCAACUGUGAAAAGUGAAAUGAAUUCGGAGAUGUUCGUGUGGACCCUUUAUUGACCCCCAUGAAGCCAUAUUCAACAUUACACUCGUCUAUAGUGAAUGUUACAUUUAAACUCUCGCUGCCGAUUUCUAACAGUCCAUGGCCAAACCAGUACCAUAUGCAAGUAUCCAUCCGCAUUUAUCGUUUCCAUGACCUUGAAGUAUCCACGUGCAUUUAUCGUUACGACUACAGAAAUAUUCAGUCGUCUGUGUCCAAGAUGCGUCGAACUAUAGGAAAUGUUGUCCAUUGGAUACGAAACUUUGUCCCUACUGCUCUACUUCUAUUCAUAUUGGACGGUUUUUGAGUGUGCCAUAUAAUUUAUGUGUCCUACAAAUGAUUUGAUGAUAAAUGUUCAAAAAAUUAAUAAAAGCAAAUGU